GGAUGUUAGGGUGAUCUGGCUGUGACAUCUGUCACCCUGUUGAUUGCCGGGGUUGAUUCAGCUAAUCUGGCUGGCUAGGCAGGUGUCCCCUUUCUCCUUCACCCCUCCAUGUGUGUUCUUCCUGAAGGUGUGCACUGGGUUGAAGAGGACGACCACCCCCAAUAGAGGAGGACCAUUUCCUCAGCCAAGGGCAUACAAAUAGCUGUGCUGACCUGCUAGAACCUCCAAACAAGCUCUCAAGAUAAAUAAAUACAACAUCACAUGUACAGGAUUUGUAUGCUAAGACUUUAAAAUGUUACUGAAAUAAAUUAAAGAUCAAAACAAAU
rnacentral:snRNA from 1 species